UUGCUACAGGUGGAGCGCGAUCGCGUAAAGCAGAGGAGAGCGAUCUUCUUCCGAUUUCCAUCGCCGGCGAUCUUUUGAGGUCAAGGGCACUUCCCUUCCUUCGGUCAUCAUCCUCUCUACCGUCGGCGACGCCACUUCAUCCCUCUGAUCCAGAUCUGGAAGCUAAUUCUGCUGCGAUUCUUGAGCGAAGAAGAAGAGGCUGUGAAGUGGAGUGAUCUGGAGGUUUGAUCCUGAUUCCCUCUCCUUCCAGCCGACGAUCGUCUUCCUUGAAGAUCUGAAUGCAUCCAAUUGGGGAUUACACAUUGGAAGGAAAACUCCCAGAAUCACCUGUAGAUGUGGAUGAUAAGAGUGUAGGGACUUGUGCUAUGGAGGCAAGGACCCAAGAAUCACUACAUGUGGUUGUACAUUCACCUGAGCCAAAACCAGAACCUGAGCUAUUAUUUGAUGAUGAUGAUGUCACAGUCAUCAUUCCAGAACCUCCAAGUACCUUUCAACAUGAUAAGGGAUGCCUACCUUCCAUCUUUAUAGGCUAUCGGAGUGGAUGCUUAAAUUAAACCGCAUUCAACCGUCGGGGAAAAUUUUCAAAGAGCAUAUGGUCGAAGGAGUGGUUUUAACUUCAAAGCAUAACAUUCCACUCCCUAGGUGGAUUUUACUUCUUAACCGACUCCAACCACCGUGAAAGACCAUUUCAUUACCGGUGUAGAUGCUACUUCUAAAUCAUUUGCAACUGCUUAGAAUAAAGGGGAGUUCGUUCCUUGCUUUUAUUUUUGCUCUAUACUUUUCUUUAGUUUCUUACUUUACAUUUGCAUUUUGCUUCCAUACUUUGUACUUUGUUUAGUAUACAUAGCAUCUCAUUUUGAAUAAAAUUCUCCAUGAAAUUGUUCUAGUAAUACUUUUAAAUGGUAAAAGUUCUUUAAGUUUGACCAUCAAUUUUAGGUCAUCUUACAUGAUUGAAGUCUCUACUUGCAUGAUAUUGGUUAGUGUGAUUAAUUGAGUUUGAUUGCAAAAAUUACCUAGAGAGGACUACUACAUGUCUAUCCUUUAUGUCUAUUUUUGUAUGAUAUGCACUCGCAACAAUUGAACUUUCGAAUUUGCUUUACCUUUUUUUUUUCAAAAUCACAAUAGCAUAUGUAUGCAUGAAAAUGAAGGAUAUUUUUCAUUCUUAUUCCCUCAUAAUUUCUAAUUUCUAAUUUCUAAUUUUUAAUUUCUAAUUUCCCCAUAAUUUUCUUAAAAUAUUUUCAUCUAGCAUUUUAACCUUUGAUCAUCUUUGCUUAUCAAUCUUUUAUUGAGAGUGUGGAUAAUAUUCUUGAUGAGUUAGAUUACCAAGAUGGACAAAGUUUUAAGUGUGGGGGUGAAUUGCAUAUGUUUGAGGUCAUGGAUUACAAAUGGAUUGGAAUUCUGAAAUUGUGGAAUCCAUCUUGGUUGAUUUUUUUUUUUUUUAAAAAAAGAAAUCCAGGAAGUUGUUUUUCUGUACAAAGAAAUCAAGUUGUGUCAAUUGCAGUUUAUGUACAAGAAUUUCAGAAUUCAGAGGUGUCCAGAAUACUAACAGACCAUGAAGGAGGAAUUGUAAAUCAUUUAAGCAUGGAUUGAAACCUUUUCUGGGAAAGGUAUAAGCUGGAAAGGAAAUUCAGGUUACUGCUAAAAAUUGAAAUUGAUUUUUGAAUUGCUGAACUUGGAAGUUUAUGCUAUGUGCUUCAUGGAUGUUCAGAAUUGCUCCAAGUUUGAAGGUUCAGCAUGAAAAUGAUUACUGAUUUUGUUGAUAAGAAAGCUUUGAAAUGUUAGUGUGAGUGCCGACAUUAGUGAUGACCUUCCUUCCAAUGAAGUAUAUGAGAUAGACAAUGGAAUCAUUAGCUAUCUAGAAUCUUAAAUGUAGAGAGUUGCAUUACAUAAAACAAAAGAAGAUAAAAAUUUGAAGGAGCUAUUGUGUGCCAAGAUUAACUAGAAUUUCUGAUUAGUGACAAUUUCAAGAGCAUAAUUUCUGAAUCUUGAUGACAAUAUAAGUUGGGAGAAUGAUUAAUUAUUUUUAGAAUGCCAAGUCAAUUUCAGGAAUCUAAAUUCUGUCAAGAAAAAAAAUAACAGUAUUGUGAAUUGCAAUUCAGUUUUUCACAAUUGUUGAACUCUAUUGUAACCUUUAAGAACAUUUCAAGAAACAAGUGAUGAGUAUUUUCUGUUGGAUAGAAAGAAAAGGAGGAAGGAAUUCGAUAAGAAGUAAACUGAUCAGAAGUGGAGAACAAUGCAUUAAUGGGAACCUAUUUAUGUGUGCUUAAGUUCCAAUCAAUUUAGUGCCAAAUGAAGUCUUAUCCUAAACUUACCCUAUAUGAUUCAAGCUUAAGUUCUUUCGAGUUCAGAUUCUGUAACUAAAGUGCUGGAAUGCAGAAAUUAGAGUGUUUAAAAAGAUAUGUAGGGAUUAGUUUUUUUUUUUCAUCUAAACAGCUUGUGCAAGCUUCCAAUCAGUAAAAUAACAAGAGGAGUACCUGAUUUUUCAUUACCAUUGAGUGUAAAAGAUCAAUUCUUCCAUGAUUCAAAGCAUGCAACUACAAUGGAAGAGUUUCUUGAAAUUGUCCAGCUCCACUGCAGUGCAAGGAAUCAACAAGUUGGCAUGAUUGUUGCUGCUGAGGGAAGCUUCCCAAUGUUAAUAUGAGGCCCAAUGAAGAACACUUGAUCAGCAAGGGGACCAGUAGCUUUAUUUCUGGAAGAAAUGCUAAGAACUGAAUUACAAAGAGGCAGAAUUCAGAGAAGAGAAAAAAAACUGUAACCUUGUUUUUGUGCCAAAUCUUCAAGCUAUCUCUAACCAGAAACAAAGUGAAUCUCUACUCAUAUCAAGUUAGUGUUAAAUGAUGCCUUAUUCCCAACUAAAUUCUCUAUGGUUAAAUUGAUGAGACACUAAAAUUCUAUUUCUGAAAUUUUGAAAUCUAAAUUGUAGAAGUUUGUUGCAAGUUCUGGAAAUUAUUCUUUGAAUUGAUUUUGAGUAUCACAAUUCCUAAGCUUUCAUGAAGCAAAUGUUCUUGUGUGAUCUUUGUACGAAUUCAAAAGGAAGGUUGUGAACUGUAGCUUGGUAGUCUUGAAACUAACUUCAAAUCUGGAUUCAGAGAACUAAAAUAAUUGGAUUCAUUGCUUAUGUGGAAUUGGUUGUGGUUGAGGUCUGAACUAGAGUGGAUAUGAGUUGUUGGAUAGUUGAACUGAUCUCAUGGUUUUCCCAUUAUUAUGCAAGAGAAAUUCUUGAAGAGAUAAAUGGAGGAAGAGAAAUGUAAAGAGCAAAAUUCAAUAAAUGAAGCUAUGAAGUUGUGGAAUGAAUGUAUUGAUCUUAGUUUGUUGUGCCAAUCUCGUGCUGCAAAUUCCUGACUAGUUAAACACUAAGAUGAAGCUCUUAGUUACCCAUUUUCAAAUGGUAAUAUCUCUUUUACAAGACCCUGAACUGCAAGAGUUCCAAGUCAAGAAUUAAAAUCUAGCUCCACAUUUCAGAAAACCAGCCUCACUUCUGAUAGCUUCUCCAAGUUAUGAAAUCUGAUAUUCAAAUGAAAAAGUUGCUGGUCUGUGAUAUUUUCUUCUAGUUUCAAAGUGACUCCUAAAUCUAGACUUUAACUCAGGGAUUGCAUAUAUGAAUUCCAUCUUAGAGAGCUCCCUAAAUUCAGCAAGAAUCAGAAAACAGAGGAAAUGGAAAUGAGUUUUUGAAACUGAAUUCUAAUUCCUAAGGUUGUUUGCAAAAGUUGAAUACUAAUUGAAUUGUUAGAACCUAUUCUUUCUUCUUGUUGCUACUAACUGAGGAUGCUUUAAAUGAAAGCUCUAUACAAUAGAGGUUGAAAGUGUACAGAAUUUCAAGGUUCUGAAAAUGUUGGUUCUAAUUCAUUGAUUUCAAUGAAAUUCACAUUAUGGGCUUACUGAUUUGGCUAUAGUUAGUUGGAUCAAGUGGUUGUUGAACAGAACAAGAACCUAAAAUUGAAUCUGAUUUCUAAAAUUCUGCGCUUGUCUUGUGGAUUCCUCCAAUAAAUUUUGGGAUGUUAACAGGAAUUGUAGAAGUGCUGGAAUUUUGCAGAAUUGCAUAAAUGAAACCACCAAGUGCAUGUUUAGUGCCAAACCUCUAUGUUGUUUUUGAUUAGUAACAUCGUGAAUUCAGUCUCUUUUCAUUCUGGGAAAGAACUUGAUAUUUGUUGUGGUUGAGACGUGUUAGGGGGAAGUGUGAAAAAAAAACAGUGGCAAAUAAAGAGAGUAUCAAGUGUGGAGAGAGUAUCAAGUAAUUAGAUAGUAUGAUAUGUUGCAUUGUCCGAGACAGACAAUAUUUUAAGUGUUUGGGGGGGGGGGGGGGGGGGCUCUUCUUCAUAAGGUGAUGCGAGAUUAUUUGAGUUUCCAAAUUCUGAAAUUGAAGUGUGAAAAAAAAAGUAGCAAUGAAGAGUAUCAAAUAGAGAGGAUAGUGUGCCAAGAUUCUAUGGCAGUGAUCAAAUUGAAAAAGAGAUUGGUUUGAUCUUUUGUUUUGGCAUCGACAAAUGGUGUUCUUUAUUCCCUAUUAUAAAUUCUUUGAUACAUCUCAAAUUGGUCAACUCAUCAAGUGUAUUCCUCCAAUACUCUCAUUUCUGCAUUGAUUCCCUUUCUUUUGCCAUUUUGUUCACUUCACUUAAUUCUUUUUAUUUCCAUUGCAAUUCAUAAUAAAUCAUUUUGAUUCAUGUAUGCUAUGUUUUAUAUUAGUGGAGAAGUAGAAAAUGAGCAAGCUUAUGGUAGUGAAAUGUUAUGAGUGACAUUGAGUUGAGUCCCAUUUAUAUACAUGUUUGAGUGUGAGAGUUAGAAUAGGUGAAUACCUUGUGAGAUUGCAUGUUGCUUAGUUUUUCAAUUGAAUUGAAAUCACCAUACCUACUGAUUAUUGUUUGGAUUGAAUUCAUGAUUGGUUAUGAUCUUUAGAUGAUCUUAGUUAAAUUCUUUUUACCAUCUUCUAGGUAUUGCUAGGAAAAUAUUAGGAAGAUGGUUUCUAGUUUGUUUUCUUCUAUUUAGUUUGCUCAUUCGGGACGAACAAGAAUAAGUGUGGGGAUUUGAUAACCAUGAUUUUACUACAAUAUUUUGAUUCAUAAAUGCAUUCUUUUAUGAUCUUCUCAUAAGCUAAACUUAUACUUACAUCACAUUUAAUGAAUUACAUUUAUUCUUAGACUUAAUUAUCAACUAUCUCAUUAUUAUGAUAUUUGAUACUAAUAUUCAAAUAUGAUCUUUGUAGGAUCAAAGGGGUAUUGGCUUGAUCAGAUCAAACUAAAUUUGGGCUCAAAUCUAAGACUAAACAAGGAGAUUAAGCUUUGGAGCCAUCUAAAUUGUCUAUCAAGAUUAAGAGAGAUCUGAGCCAUCCGUCAAGGAUUUGGUCCAUCCAACCCAAGGGGAAGUAGAUUACAGCCAUCGAUUAAGAUCUAGAGCUUCUGAUCCAGAUAUGAAUUGAUUCGACCAUUGAUCAAGAUCCAAAGCAUUUUGGACCGUCCAUUCAGAUCUGAGAUGAGUUCAAAUGAGAAGCUAUAGUAGGGUUCUUCAUUUGUCAAUUUGCUACAGGUGGAGCGUGAUCGUGUAAAGCAGAGGAGAGUGAUCUUCUUUUGAUUUCCAUCGCCGACGAUCUUCUGAGGUCAAGGGCACUUCCCUUCCUUCGGUCAUCAUCCUCUCUACCGUCGGCGACACCACUUCAUCCCUCUGAUCCAGAUCUGGAAGCCAAUUCUGCUGCGAUUCUUGAGCGAAGAAGAAGAGGAUGUGAAGUGGAGUGAUCUGGAGGUUUGAUCCUGAUUCCCUCUCCUUCCAGCCGACGAUCGUCUUCCUUGAAGAUCUGAAUGCAUCCAAUUGGUUAGGAGUGUUUGCUUCUACUUCCAUUGGUUUUCACGGUUACUGCAUCAAUUUCUUGUUCUUGCUGUGUCAAUGGAUAAGAAUCGAUCAUCUGGAGAUCCAGACAUCUUCGUCCAAUUCAGUGAGUGUUUAGGGCUAUCCUAGCUCACUUGGGUUUAUCUCCUUCCCUAGAUCACAAUUUUGUUUUUAUUCUUUCUAAUUUACAGCUGAGAAUAUCUGUUCUUGUUGCUAUUCAGUUUCAUAAAUCUGAAUUAGUUUUAGUUAGUUUCAA